rnacentral:lncRNA from 1 species
GGAAAAAGAGACCAACAGUGUCUGGCUCCUGGGGGCGGGGUGUGUGGGGGUGUCUGCUCCAGAGUGGGGGACAGUGGGGACUGCUGGCCAAAAGGAAGUACACAGAGAGGAACUCCAACAACCUGAACCAAAUCCAGUGUUGCCCAAGCAGAGAGUCUGGUUGUGGGGCCGACAGAAAGGAUCAUCUCUGACACUCAGUUUUGUUAUCUGAGAAAUGGGCCUUAUUAUAUACACAUCUGCUUACGGUCUGGUUUGGGAUGGCACAGACCGGGAGGAGUUUGGGCAGUGCCCGGCAUGCCCUGGGAGGCGGGCAAGCCGGUGACAUGCACUUGGUGUUUCUGGGGCCUCAGUGAAGGAAGAUCGCUGCAGAGGCUGGGGAUGUCGCUGUGUGAAGCCCUCUUCCACUUCUGAGGACCCAGCACAAACCAAACGGACAAGACCAUUUGAACUCGGAGCAUCUGCCCUUAAGAGCCACCCGCAGUCACAGCACACAGUAAGUACAUAUCAGCUGUUGGCCAUCGUCAGAGCAACAGCGUCCCAAGACUGGAGCUGUUCAUGGGGUAAAGACGCCGAGGUUCAGUCUGGUGAAUUCAUGUGUCCGGGGGCGGGUGGGGGCUCCCAGGAAAGCUGACCUGGAACCCCAGCGCUCAAUGACUGUGGCAGUCUAGCCGGGGAAGAUGAAUUUGCUAAGUGAUCUUAGCUGUCAGGCUAAGGUGGGGGGGAGGGUGGUCAUCAGAGCAGGACAGAGAGGAAAGAGUUGGGGUAGGAGUGUGUGAAGUGGGGGUAGGGUGGCGAAAGAGGGGAGACCCCCAAUGUGAUUGGCAGCUACUGCCAUAGGCUAGACCUAGGGCCAGACGUGAGGGGACUGUGUUCUCAAGGUUUCCUAGGGACAGAAGAGGAAAACGUUCUGCCAAGGGCCGAAUCAAGGUGGCAGGAGCUUUGGGUCUGGAGAUCUAAGAGAGUGAGAGAGAUACAAAAAGAAAAAGGGCUGAGGACAAUGAUGAAAAAAAGGAAUUCAGUGUGGCACUUCUAGGUCUAGCCUGCGCUGGGUGUAAGAGCUGACCUGACUGAACACAGCUGAGCUGAGGAGCCUUCCAGAAUGUUCAAGGUAGUCCUGCGUGCCCAUCUUCCAUGGAGCACAAAGCCAUGGUGCCUGCCAGAGCAGCACUCAGCACCCAGCACCCAGUGGCUCCCGGAAGGAGGAGGAGAUACGUUAUCCUUGGUGACAGUAGCCAUCAGCCACACUCUAGAAUGGCAGCGACUUCUACAGAGACAUGGACUCCAUCACCCGGCACGCAAGGCAGACUGGUCAUGGUAAGGCCACCUCCAGAAGAGACUAGUGAGACAACGCAGGGGCCUCGCCUCACCUGGUUCCGCCUUCCAGAGCACAUAGACUAGCCUUUGCUCUCCUCCUGCUCACAGGGUUUGUAGUCUCUGCUGAGGAAUUUCAAACCCAGCCAUGUAGGCCCGGGACAAGGGGCCUCGCUCCUGGCAGCUGAGCCACACACAGUCAUUCUGCAGUUGGCAUGAGAAAGGCACCUGCAGAGAAGAUGAAUUCAAACCCUCCCCACCCUGGGCACAGUGGUCCAGGUCUGUGAUCCCAGCACCCACUUGGGGAGGUUAAGGCAGGAGGAUCCCAAGUGUAAGGCCAGCCUGGGCUACAUACUGAGACUCUGUCUCAAACAGACAAGUAAAAGGCUUAAAACAAGCCAGGCAGUGGUAGCACACACCUUUAAUCUGAUCCUUGGGAGAUAGAGGCAUGUGGAAACUCUGUGAGUUUGGGGCCAGCCUGGUCUAUAGAGUUCCAGGCCAGCCAGGACGACACAGAGAGGAAAAUAAAAGCAUAAAGCACCUCUGCCCCUCUAGGUCCCCAAGCUGCUCACAAUUUAUCCCAAAUUCUACCUUAACAGGAACCCUG